rnacentral:rRNA from 1 species
UACGAAGGGGGGCUAGCGUUGCUCGGAAUCACUGGGCGUAAAGCGCACGUAGGCGGAUUGCUAAGUCAGGGGUGAAAUCCUGGAGCUCAACUCCAGAACUGCCUUUGAUACUGGCGACCUUGAGUCCGGGAGAGGUGAGUGGAACUGCGAGUGUAGAGGUGAAAUUCGUAGAUAUUCGCAAGAACACCAGUGGCGAAGGCGACUUACUGGACACAUAUUGACGCUGAGGUGCGAAAAGCGUGGGGAGCAAACAGG